rnacentral:rRNA from 1 species
ACUGCGCUCCGCAUGGGGUGUGGUGGAAAGAUUUUAUCGGUUUUGGAUGGACUCGCGGCCUAUCAGCUUGUUGGUGGGGUAAUGGCCUACCAAGGCGAUGACGGGUAGCCGGCCUGAGAGGGUGACCGGCCACACUGGGACUGAGACACGGCCCAGACUCCUACGGGAGGCAGCAGUGGGGAAUAUUGCACAAUGGGCGCAAGCCUGAUGCAGCGACGCCGCGUGCGGGAUGACGGCCUUCGGGUUGUAAACCGCUUUCAGCAGGGAAGAAGCCUCGGGUUCUCUCGGGGUGACGGUACCUGCAGAAGAAGCGCCGGCUAACUACGUGC